UACGAAGGGGGCGAGCGUUGUUCGGAAUUACUGGGCGUAAAGGGCGCGCAGGCGGCCUUAGAAGUCAGAUGUGAAAGCCCCGGGCUCAACCUGGGAAUGGCAUUUGAUACUCUGAGGCUGGAGUACGGGAGAGGAGAGUGGAAUUCCCAGUGUAGAGGUGAAAUUCGUAGAUAUUGGGAAGAACACCGGUGGCGAAGGCGGCUCUCUCGGAGCCGUAACUGACGCUGAGGCGCGAAAGCGUGGGGAGCAAACAGG
rnacentral:rRNA from 1 species